rnacentral:rRNA from 1 species
UACGUAGGUGGCAAGCGUUGUCCGGAAUUAUUGGGCGUAAAGCGCGCGCAGGCGGCUCGUCAAGCCUGACGUGAAAGCCCCCGGCUCAACCGGGGAGGGUCGUCGGGGACUGGCGGGCUUGAGGUCGGCAGGGGCUGGUGGAAUUCCCGGUGUAGUGGUGAAAUGCGUAGAGAUCGGGAGGAACACCCGUGGCGAAGGCGGCCAGCUGGGCCGGACCUGACGCUGAGGCGCGAAGGCGUGGGGAGCGAACGGG